ensembl:lncRNA LINC01234 long intergenic non-protein coding RNA 1234
GGGACAUUUUCCUGGAGCGGCUGGGAAAGAGGAGUCUCUCGAAAUUCAGCAACUGCUAACAGCGAGGAGGGGUUUUGAAAGGUAAAGGCCAUUAGCUUGGAGGCAGAAGACAGACCUCCCUGACUGCUGAAUUCCUGCCGGCCUGAAAUUGGAGCAUUCCAAGCUCCUCAGAUGAGUCAUAAGCCACCAAGAUUGUGAGCCUCUGGAAACUUCAUCAUGAAAUGUUGGGGACCUGCCUCACCAGGUUGAUGUAAGGACCUCGUGGGAUGAAGCCAGCUCAGUGACCAUUCCAGAGAGGACACUCGACACAUGGCCAAGUUUGUGAAAUCCCUCCUGGUUGCUGUGUGGAGCCCUAGUUCAUCCACAUUUCCAACAGCUGAGUCUUCCGCACAACGGGAAAAGCACCAUUAAUUUCACUCUCCUAUCUUGGAGCAUUUAGAUCAUUUCCUGGUUUUGCUUCUUACAAACAGAGCUGCUAUGAACAUCCCUACCUGGAACUCAGGGGCCACUUUUCUCUAGGGACACAUUCAUCUGUCUGCUAGAUGCUUUUUUCUAAAACUCUACUUUCAUUUUAAAAAUUAUGACAUGGCUAUACUUGCUCAGGCCUCUAAGAUGGCAUCCUAGGACCUACUGAAUGGAGUCCCAGCAUCUCAAGGAAGGAAUGCCAGAAGCCAGAACAUCCAAGUAACAAUCUCCACCUGCAGCUGAUGCUCUCUGGGACCCAGGACCAGCCACUCUUCUCUGUGCCCCACUUUCCUCCUUUGUAAUCUAAUUACCCAGUGAUGACCAGGAUAUAAGAGGACUUGUCUGCAUUGUCUCAUGGCCACAACCACAAGAAGAGCGUCCUGCUGUCACCCCCAUUUUAUAAAUAGGGAAACUAGGUCAGGCAUGGUGGCUCACACCUGUAAUCCUAGAGCUUUGAGAGGCCAAGGCGGGAGGAACAGUUGAGACAGCAGUUUGAGACCAGCCUGGGCAACAUAGCAAGAACUCCGUCUUGACAAAAAAAAAAAAAAUUUUUUUUAAAUUAACUGGGCAUGGUGGCACACACCUGUUGUUCCAACUAUUCGAGAGGCUGAGAUGGGAGGAUCAUUUGAGCCCAGGAGAUCGAGGCUGCAGUGAGCUAGGAUCAUGCCACUGCACUCCAGCCUGGACAACAGAGUGAGACCUUAUCUCUAAAAAAUAAGAAAACUGAGGCACAGAGAAGUUAAGUAACGUGCUCAAGGUCAUGCAACUAGUAAGUGGCAGAGCCUACGUGCUUUCCCUUCAUUAAUUCAGUCAUUUAUUCAACAACUAUUUUAUUGAACAUCCACUAUGUACCCAGCCUCGGCAGUGAUCAAGAUACCCAAGAUCCUAGAUUUUACAAAAUCCACCACUUAAAAGCAGAGCAUGGGAUGGAAAGGAGACAAAAAUUAUUGUGUCUAACUUAUUUGUUAAUUUGCCUAUGGGCAGCAAUAAGUGCCAUGGGGGGAAAAAAGGUAGAGUAAUAGGAACUACUUUGGUCAGGGAAGUCCUCUCUGCAGAGUGGAGACCUCACUGUCAAGGAGAAAACAGCCAAGCAAAGGCCUAAAUCAAGGGUGUUACAAGAGAAAGGAAAAGGCAGGAGUAGAGAGGCCCCAUUGUCAGAGGCGUUUAAACCAGAGUGACUCCAUCUUGACCAGGAGCUGGGUACAAUGAGGCUGAAACCUACUGGGCUGCAUUCCCAGAUGGUUAGGCAUUCUGAGUCACAGGAUAAGAUAGGAGGUCUGCACAAAAUACAGGUCAUAAAGACCUUGCUGAUAAAACAGGAUAAGUAAAGAAGCCAGCCAAAACCCACCAAAACCAAGAUGGUGACGAGAGUGACCUGUGGUCGCCCUCACUGCUGCACUCCCACCCGCGUCAUGACAGUUUACAAAUGCCAUGGCAAUGUCAAGAAGUUACCCAAAAGGGCCAAAAAGGAGGAGGCAUAAAUAAUCCACCCCUUGUUUAGCAUAUCAUCAAGAAAUAACCAUAAAAAUGGGCAACCAGCAGCCCUUGGAUCUGCUCUGCCUAUGGAGUAGCCAUUCUUUCAUUCCUUUACUUU